AUGAAAAAGUGCCAUACAGGACUGCAGUGUCCCAGUCCUGACGCGGCAGUACCCCCUGUCCUGACCCCCAGGGACGCCUUCCUUCCCCUGCCCCCCCAGGAAGGGCCGGGGCUGGCCAGGGGCAGCAGGGGGGAGACUUUCCGGGACAAGGGAGGAGACACCUUUCAAACCCCGUCCUGGAAACAGCCCCAGCGCAGCCGUGGGAAGGGGCGGCUGCCCGGCUGCCCCAGACAACUUCGUGCCCAGGCUCCGGGGGCCCCCUCUCACCCCGCAGCGCGCCCCCACCGCGGCCGCCCAACUUCCCCGCCGAAGUUUGCUCCCGCCCCGGGCCCGGCCGAGGCUCGGCCCGGCCUCCGGACGGAGGGAGGAAGGGAGGGAGGAGAAAGACGGAGAGACGGAGGGACGGGGCCGGGGAGCCGGCGAGGGAGGGAGCGCGCGAGCGAGGGAGCGAGCGCAGGGGCCCCGGCGAGGGCUCACAAUGGCCCGGGGCGAGGCGCCGACGCGGGAGGAGGAGGCGACCCUCGGGUCCCGCAGCCCCCCGCAGCCCCCGCGCGACAGCCCAGCCCCCCCGCCCAGUCCCAUCCCCACCGCGCGACGCCGCGGGGCUUCCUACCUCGGCGGCGGGGGCGGUCGGGCUCCCGGCUGCGGGCUCCGGCGGUCUGGGGGCGGCGGGGGAGCGAGCGGGGGAGGGGCCGGGGCGGGCGGGGGCCGGGGCGCGAGGCUCACGCGGCGCGGGCUCCCCUGGCACGGCCGCCCGGCGCCCGGCCGCUCCGCCACAUCUGCAGCUCGGGCAGGGAAGGUGGCCGCGGCGGCCGGGCCGUGCGGGGAUGUCUUAGAGAGGGAGGGAGGAGGGAGGAGGGAGGCGGCGGGGAGGAGGGCCCGGCGAGCCGCGGAGGAGGGGGGAGGAGGAGGGGCGCGGGGGGCGGCCUCGCUCCCUCCUCCCUCCCCCGCUGGUUCCCUCGCGCCCGCCCUCCCAGCAAACCCCUUUCGCCGCCGCGGCCCCAGGCCCGGGGCGCCAGCUGCCAGGCGGGGCGUGCGCGUCUGGGGGAGGGGGCGGACGGGAGCCGGCGCUGGGCCGGGGGAGGGGAGGUAGGGCGGCGGGGCCGCGGGGAGCGGGCACCGGGAGGGAGGGGGCGGCGGGCCGCGGCCGAGCGACGCGCGUCCUCCUCGGCCCCAUCCCCGAGUCACCCCCCCCCGCAGCCCCGCCCCCGGCCCGAGGGCAGCGCUGGGACACGGCCCGGAGGUGGCCUGGGGGUGGCGCGGGGCGGGGGGGUGGGGGUGGGAGGGAUGUCCCGCCCUCGGGGAAGCCCGGGGAGGGGGCGGGCGCGCUGA
rnacentral:lncRNA from 1 species